CCGAUACCAAUCAAAUAAAACACAUCUGAGGACCAGGUGUGGCCCCAGGCAGCGAGUUUGCAGUCCCCGAGUUGGGUACUUUCUCCCAGAUGGAGACCAUCUGCCACACCGGCAUCACCAGGGACCAGGAUUUAAGGCUCUCAUCAGAUAUGCGGCAACCCUCGAUUAGAACUUGGGACGCCCGUGACACUGCCACCCGCGAUCCCCGGUAAUCGAGCCAGGCUUGUCACUGGGCACCUGAGGCAGUUGCAUCGGCUCUGUCCCCCACUGUGGACGGCCAACGAUUCCAGGCCAUACAAGGCACGGCAUUGAAUAGCCUUGAGUCACCAAUGAGAUGGCAUCUUGCUCGUGCCAUUUCAGGAAGAGUUUGCCAAUUUCUCGUGGAGACGGUUGGUUGAUACGGCAAAGAUCUCGCUGAUGGUACCAGAGUGAGCGAAUCCGUCAUU